GUGGGGGCGCUGAGACUGAAGACCGAGUGAGGUGAGGCCUAGCCAGGGCUGGGACACCCUGAGUCCUGUGUCUCCUCACCCCCAGGC
ensembl:miRNA mdo-mir-12341 mdo-mir-12341